CUACUGCACCUGUGCAGUUUGUCAAGCCUAGGAACGGUAUGCUAAAACAAACUGAGCUAGCGCUUCCAGGUUAGGAUUAUGUGUUGAAGAAUAGUUUGAGAGCACUGCCAGCAUGUGCCUUCUGAGAAAAGAAGGGCCAGUUUGUUUCUUCUGUUGAAACCCUGGGAUUAAGCCUUGGCCAUUAGCCAGGCAGAAGGUUAGGAGCUGAGAUUUGCUCAGUCUGAAAGACUGCUUCUCCUUCUCUUGCAUGUGGGUGGAGGCCUAGAGACUGGUAAGCUGUGAAAAUAUCUUGUUUGAACUGUUUUAUAACCCCUGGAACAGGGUGGGCUUUUUAAGAGGGAUAGCAAGAGGACUGCACCCCAUACCUUGCAACUGGACCACAGGAUUGUCACUGCUCAGGGAAUGACAAAUGAGGUAACUGGACUUUGACUUGCUGUGCAUCACACAAUGCAUCUCAGAUUGCCCGAAGUGACGUCCCCAUGAAUAUCAAAUUGUUCUGAAUGUGCUGGGACAACUCACUCUCUGACCCAAAGCUUCGUUCUUGUGUGAUGUUGGUGCACAGACAUUUGCUGGUUGUGGCCAUAGGAAGCUGCAUUGGAGAGAGACUAACCUUUGGUACUAGAGAGCUGAUGGAUUUAAAGCCAUUUUCGGAGACCAAGUGACAGACUUGUCAGCUCUUCUGUAUGUCAAAGAGCAGCAAGAAGAGGAAUCUUUAUCACGAAAACCUGCUGAGUGAAAGGGAGGUGGCCUCCACUCUGAAGACUUUCAUGGAUCUGUACGGAGCCACCUAAAACUUUUUCAAUACUCUGUCUUAGUGGAAAACAAUUUAAAAGUGGAGGGAACAUAGGAUAUAAUCUUCCAGAAACAGAGUUGGCAAAGGAACUGUAUUUUGUUCCUAGCUAAUAAAUUCAGCUUUCAGGAAGAAAUUCUUAUAAGGUUCAUUUACCAGCUUUUAAGAAAGGAAAAUGAAUGUGUUAAUUAUGUACAUUUUUACCAUCUGCUAAAUGAGGUAAUUUCGGCCAGGCCUUGGCAACCUCUUCCUGGACAUAAACUUUAAAAACAAGCUUUUUCAACCAUAAAAUUACUGCCCUGGAAAAGGACAGAUAAAUGUCUAAGCAAGCGCCUCAUUACUGUCAAAGCUGUGAUUUGUUGUUUCAUUAUAAUGUGUUUUCCUUGUUAUUGGUGUUAAGGUUGAGUCAGCCUUUCCAUUAUAAAUACCCUCCUAAUUUUAGGGUGACAUGGCUCAGCUGUUAAAAAAAAUUUUAAAAAAAGUUGCACUGGGCUGAAAUGAGGAAUUGUGUUCUCAAGCUAAAUGCAAGGAUCAAAACAAGAGAUUGGAUUUUCAGAAACAUUUUAAGGCACUUCUGGGAUUGACAAAUGCCUGGCUUUUCAAGAGCUCAUAUCUGCCAUUUUAUUGUUGAGCAGUACCGUAACCCAUUGAAGCCAAUAGGGCUAUGUUCAGAAUAAGGUGGGCUUAAUUAACUGCACGCUUGCUCAGUAAAACAAGAGGGGUGCAAACAGCUUCCCCUGGGUGUGGUACCCACAUUGUAAAAACCUGCAUCAAGCUCCUACUUCCCCUCUUAAUGCAAGUAGCUGGGCAUGGGUAGGACCUUGGCUCUGUUCCCCCCUCACCUGCCAUAUGCUGGCAAGUGUAGCUGUGCCAGCGUGGUGGGGGAAGUAAUCUGCACCAAGAAUGAGGUGAGGGCAGGUUGCUUCUUCCCUGGAGCAGGGGGAAACUGGGAGGCUGGAAUCUGGUUCCUUGUCUGCUCCUAGGGCCGGGCAACAGUACACUUUCCUUUACUUGGCCUUCAGGCACUACUGCAAUAUAAAUGUUAAAUAACAAGGAAUGAGAGGAAUGAUACUUGGGGCUUGUGACAAAGCCACAGUUCAGCUCAAAGUGUGAAGAUGCAGAGUUUAUUCCUCCUCAAUUAAUUACUUUAGAGCCAUUGUCCCUCAGAGUGAUCUGCUUUAUGUGCUGAACAUUUGACAUAUUACGGACCUGCAGCUGCUGUUGAAAAUGGGAUCAUUUUUGACAAAUCGGUAGCUUGCAAACUCUGAGUAAAACUUACCAGCUCCUGAAUUUCAGUUGUGGACUAUUUUUUGUUCCCCUUUUUUUCUUUCAAAUGAGUGCACAGUAAGGCUCAGCUGCCCCUGAGGUUUCAUGUUAAUUACCAACUAGUAUUGGCUCAAGAAGAAGUGUAACAUACAUUCCAAUAGUCAGCUGUAACAAACACAAAUAAAAAUAAAUGUUUUAAAACUGCAGGCAUUAAUAAAGGUAGCAUCUGAAUGUGGCCAGUGGGAUAGGAGCAGGGAUGAUCUAAGUAACAGUCUAAGAAUAUCUAAAGGUGAUGGACAAAAUGUGGGGAAGUACAAGAUGAGAUGCGUGUGUGUUUUUUUUUAAACGUGUAUAUCUUGUUGACUUCUUAUAAAAUGCACCAUCAGCAAUAGAUCUUAGAACAAAUUUUGAAAGAGAAAGUAGUUAAGGA